AGAGCAGCCUUCAUGUACCUCCCAGGGCCGGCGACGUUCGCUUUCGAAAGAGCAGGCCGCGUCGUGCGGGCGGCUCAAAACACACGCAGAGAGCCGCCGUGCACGUUUCGGCAGGAGGGUUUGCUUUUGCAACGGGCGGGUCUGAGCGCCCCGGGGUGCUAGAUUUGCACGUUCUGCUGUACGCCAGGGAUGCAUGCAAUUUAAAACCCCAGCAGAGGACUAUGAUGCAAGCCUGCAGCCGAUUCUUUGAUGUUGUUUUCUGAAACAAACAGCUUCAACGCAGCUUCCUCUCUGACAGUGAAUAGUGAGCAAAUGGCUGAGACUGUCCAUCCACUUCGUAUAGGCAGCCUGGAGGAGAAACAGGCUAUGCCUUCUCCAGCAAUCAGUGUGAUUAAAUGGAAUUUAGGAUUUAAGGAUUUCCCUUGUUCUAUAUGGUUUGCUUUUUGUCUUGCUAAUUAGUUCUGUUUAAAAGAGCAGUGGUGACCACACACUGUGAUGUUACUGGGUGAGCCUGGAUUAGUUGUGCUUGUCUGACUUAAUUUGGAGAAUAAAAUAUUUCAAAAGAUGUUUUGCUCAUCUAUUGACUCUUGCAUUAUAUAUGAAGACCCAUACAAAUAGCUGUAUGAUAGCUGACUUUACAGUCUCUCAGAAAAGUAAAUUAUUUGUAAGUUAGAAGAGGCAAGAAAACCUCAGACAGAACACUAAUAGUUUAAAAUAUUAAUUUAUUAAAUCAAGGCUAGUACUGUUCCCAAAUCCAAAAAUUAGUUCAGCAUCCUAAUCAUUCCAGCCAAAACUAAUUACAUCCACAAUUAAUCACAUAUUUUAAAUAUUCUGAAGGGUUUUCUUCCACAGAACCACAUAUAAUGCCUUUAAAUAAAACUUAACUACAAAAUGAUUAUACCUAAUUAAUAGGGAACAGAGAAGAUGAUAUACUGGGGCACAUUACUAUUCAUUGACAAAAGAAAAUUUUAUUGAAAGGCAGUGGCUGACAUCCAGACUAAAUUACUCCUGAGUAUACCUAUUGAAAUGAAGUAGUCUUUUAGAGUAACUCAGAGUUAUCCUAUGGGAUAUCAGCCUGUAUAUUUAAUUGGGGGGGCACCACUUUUAAUUAGGAAAACCAUUCAAGUUAUAUCAUUUAAACAACUUAACAAUUAAAAAGCCUAUUAUCUUUUACUGAUAUUUUUAUUUAUCCCAUUAUUAAACUACAAUCUAUAUAUAAGCAUGUUACAUACCAGGCUAUCUACUUUUUUUCUGUGCUAAUUUUCUCAUAAACAUAUCGUGUAAUUACAAAUGCAUUUUUGAGAAGCAGCCCUAGAUAUUAAAGCAUCCAUCUAAUAUAAAGCAAUCUAAUAUCUCUUCAGGACAGAAUUCAUGCUGAUAUUCAGAAAAUUUAAUACCUCCAAAGUUUAAUUCAUUUUAUAUAAAUGUAUUGCUAUGACUGAAAAGGUCCUACGAAUAACUGGCAAGGUUAGCUGGCAACCAAUUAAUAUGUCCUGCUUUCUCCCAGAAGACAAAGCUGUGAAUGGAUAAAGUAGCUCAGCAGAGUAUGAAGUUGUAAAAUUUAAAGUAAAAAAGACCUGCAACUGACUUGUAUUCCUUACGCCUGACAGUUUUCUCUCUCCCCACAUACAUGUGUGUAUAAUUUGUGUCAUCUCUAAUGCAAAGUCUGUGUUGUACAGUAUUUAGAUUGUGAGAACUGAUACACACUGUGCCCUAAAUCAGGAGAGAUUCAUAUGGCUUCUACCUUCAAAAAACGACACUUGAGAGUCACAGGGUACUAAAUUGUGUGAAUGUGUUUGGUAAUACUGAUGUUUAUUUUAUGUCUUCCAACUAGCAGGUCACAAUGGACUCUUCAAAUGACCCAGUUCCACAGGAAUCUCAGCAUAAAGUGACUUAAUUUAGUCGUAAUUUCUGUGAUAAUUUAGUUAUCCUAAAUUACGACAGAGCUGGGGAAAGUGGUUGUGUGAAAAGACACACUUUGGGUUUUUGAACUAACAAAGUCUAGAUUUUUUUUUUUAAGUUCCAAGUACUGUAUAUACAGGCACAUUUCCACACAUCAUACAGUAUUACAGAUGUCAAUAUUUUUUUUAAAGUCUGACAUAAAUAAGCAUUUUAAUUUUUGUUCACUGCAGGUUCAUUAGAGAUCAGAAGGCAAUGGAGGAGGCACCGGUAAAUCACUUCUCUUUCGCAUUGCCAAUCGACAGAAAACACAAUUGAUUUCCACUUUGUCUUCAUUAUUCUGGAAGAUUAAGAAAGGCUUCUCGCAUUCUUCACACUGAUUUUUUUAAAAAAGAACAUUAUCAGUGAUUCAACCGCAACAGACUUUACAGAUGGCUAAGCUGGGACCGAGUGGCAGUGGUGAAAUAUCGGCACUGAGACACAUACAUCGUAAAAGAAAAAGGGUGCGGAGGAAGUCAGUACUGAAAAUAAUAUAACUGUCAGGAUAUUGAAAAUGGCAUGUACAGUAUAAUGAUCUUUAUUAGACCGAUGUAAUGAAGUGAAGAAAAAUACUCUCAAUAUGCUCUUUGAAUUAUUCUUAAAGUACAUUUUAAAAGCUUCUUUACUCAUUUGGUGACUGAUCCUGCAUAGUCAGUUGGAGUUUUGCACAGCAAAAGUAAGUCCCCCUUUGCUAAAAUGGAAGCUUACAGAGUACCUUUAAACUUAGCCUUUUAUAUACUUCUCUUGCAUCCCAGACAAUUAUUGUUUUGUCAUAACCACCAGACACGACAAGUGAU